rnacentral:rRNA from 1 species
UACGAAGGGGCGAGCGUUGUUCGGAUUUACUGGGCGUAAAGGGCGCGCAGGCGGCUCAUUUUGUCAGGCGUGAAAGCCCCGGGCUUAACCUGGGAACUGCGUUUGAUACGGAUGGGCUAGAGUUCGGGAGAGGAGAGUGGAAUUCCCAGUGUAGAGGUGAAAUUCGUAGAUAUUGGGAAGAACACCGGUGGCGAAGGCGGCUCUCUGGACCGAUACUGACGCUGAGGCGCGAAAGCGUGGGGAGCAAACGGGG